rnacentral:rRNA from 1 species
GAUGAACGCUGGCGGCGUGCCUAACACAUGCAAGUCGAGCGGCAGCGAGGGGUGCUUGCACCCUGUCGGCGAGCGGCGGACGGCUGAGUAACGCGUGGGAACGUGCCCCAAAGUGAGGAAUAACUGCCCGAAAGGGUAGCUAAUACCGCAUAUUAUCUUCGGAUCAAAGGAUUUAUCCGCUUUGGGAGCGGCUCGCGUCGGAUUAGGUAGUUGGUGAGGUAAUGGCUCACCAAGCCGACGAUCCGUAGCUGGUCUGAGAGGAUGACCAGCCAGACUGGAACUGAGACACGGUCCAGACUCCUACGGGAGGCAGCAGUGAGGAAUCUUCCACAAUGGGCGAAAGCCUGAUGGAGCAACGCCGCGUGAAGGACGAAGGCCUUCGGGUUGUAAACUGCUUUUAUAAGUGAGGAAUAUGACGGUAACUUAUGAAUAAGGAUCGGCUAACUACGUG